rnacentral:misc_RNA from 1 species
GAUGAAGAACGUAGCGAAAUGCGAUACUUGGUGUGAAUUGCAGAAUCCCGUGAACCAUCGAGUCUUUGAACGCAAGUUGCCCCCGAAGCCAUUAGGCCGAGGGCACGCCUGCCUGGGCGUCACACGUCGUUGCCCCCCCAUCUACUCCUUCGGGAUUGCGGGGGGCGGAUGAUGGCCUCCCGUGCGCCUCGUCGCGCGGUUGGCAUAAAUGCCAAGUCCUCGGCGACGCACGCCACGACAAUCGGUGGUUGCGAAACCUCGGUUGCCCGUCGUGUGCGGUCGUCGCGCAUCGAGGGCUCGAAAAAAUUGCCGGGCUCCGGCUCGGCUUUCAACGCGACCCCAGGUCAGGGGGGGUUACCCGCUGAAUUUAAGCAUAUCAAUAAGCGGAGGA